rnacentral:rRNA from 1 species
UCCAGACUCCUACGGGAGGCAGCAGUGGGGGAUAUUGCACAAUGGGGGGAACCCUGAUGCAGCGACGCCGCGUGAACGAAGAAAUAUUUCGGUAUGUAAAGUUCUCUCAGCAGGGAAGAAAUUGACGGUACCUGAGUAAGAAGCUCCGGCUAAAUACGUGCCAGCAGCCGCGGUAAUACGUAUGGAGCAAGCGCUAUCCGGAUUUACUGGGUGUAAAGGGAGCGUAGGCGGCCUGCCAAGUCUGAUGUGAAAUACCGGGGCUCAACCCCGGGGCUGCAUUGGAAACUGGCAGGCUGGAGUGUCGGAGAGGCAGGCGGAAUUCCUAGUGUAGCGGUGAAAUGCGUAGAUAUUAGGAGGAACACCAGUGGCGAAGGCGGCCUGCUGGACGAUGACUGACGCUGAGGCUCGAAAGCGUGGGGAGCAAACAGGAUUAGAUACCCGGGUAU